rnacentral:rRNA from 1 species
GAUGAACGCUGGCGGCGUGCCUAAUACAUGCAAGUCGAGCGAACAGACGAGGAGCUUGCUCCUCUGACGUUAGCGGCGGACGGGUGAGUAACACGUUGAUAACCUACCUAUAAGACUGGGAUAACUUCGGGAAACCGGAGCUAAUACCGGAUAAUAUAUUGAACCGCAUGGUUCAAUAGUGAAAGACGGUUUUGCUGUCACUUAUAGAUUGAUCCGCGCCGCAUUAGCUAGUUGGUAAGGUAACGGCUUACCAAGGCAACGAUGCGUAGCCGACCUGAGAGGGUGAUAGGCCACACUGGAACUGAGAAACGGUCCAGACUCCUACGGGAGGAAGCAGUAGGGAAUCUUACGCAAUGGGCGAAAGCCUGACGGAGCAACGCCGCGUGAGUGAUGAAGGUCUUCGGAUCGUAAAACUCUGUUAUUAGGGAAGAACAAAUGUGUAAGUAACUAUGCACGUCUUGACGGUACCUAAUCAGAAAGCCACGGCUAACUACGUG